CUGGAACCCUCAUAGACCACACUCCUGUAGUCUGCUUUGGUCUGAUCAACCUGAGCCAUAUAGUUCCUCUGCAACCCUCUGCAUGCUUAUCUACAAGGGCCUCCCCCACAUCCAAGUUCAUACUGCUCAGAAACAGUGAGCUUGGAGUGUUCCGUUUAUCUUGAUCUCCCUCUGACAAAGAAAUCCAGAUGACACAGAACCCACUGAAGACGAUACCUGGAAAAUGGCAGUCUUGGAAAUAACUUUGGCUGUCAUCCUGACUCUAUUGGGACUUGCCAUUCUGGCUAUUUUAUUAACAAGAUGGACACGACGCAAGCAAAAUGGUGCUGGUCUUCUGGACUAUGAGGAUGGUAGAGGAUUCCGGCAUUUGUAUUCAACAGAAAGUGGUAAAUAA
rnacentral:lncRNA from 1 species